rnacentral:rRNA from 1 species
CGGUGAGUGAAGAAGGCCUUUGGGUUGUAAAGCUCUUUUGUAGGGGAAGAUAAUGACUGUACCCUAAGAAUAAGGUCCGGCUAACUUCGUGCCAGCAGCCGCGGUAAUACGAAGGGACCUAGCGUAGUUCGGAAUUACUGGGCGUAAAGCGCGCGUAGGCCGUUGAGUUAGUUAAUUGUGAAAUCCCAAAGCUUAACUUUGGAACUGCAAUUAAAACUGCUCGACUAGAGUUUGAUAGAGGAAAGCGGAAUACAUAGUGUAGAGGUGAAAUUCGUAGAUAUUAUGUAGAACACCAGUUGCGAAGGCGGCUUUCUGGGUCAACACUGACGCUGAGGCGCGAAAGUAUGGGUAGCAAAGAGGAUUAGAUACCCUCGUAGUCCAUACCAUAAACGAUGAUUGCUAGAUGUUGGAAAUUUAUUUUCAGUAUCGCAGCUAACGCAUUAAGCAAUCCGCCUGGGGAGUACGACCGCAAGGUUAAAACUCAAAUGAAUUGACGGGGACCCGCACAAGCGGUGGAGCAUGUGGUUUAAUUCGAAGAUACGCGCAGAACCUUACAAACCUUGACAUGUCUGUCGCGAGUUAAGGAACUAGACUUUCGGUCGGC